UUUUAUAGAUGAGCAAAGAACGUGGUUUCUUCAGAUAGAAUCUACUUCUGGUGAAGAUGCUAUGAA
rnacentral:pre_miRNA from 1 species